AACUAAGAUAGAGGCGCGAAAUUUAAGAGUAUUAUUAUGGAGGUAAGCUCAUUGAAGUAAUAAGAAAGGAACUUUCGCCGAAGUAAAUAGCUGAUUGCUUUAAUACUAUUUGCUGGGCUUGUGUAAAAUAUAUACAAGACUGCCACAACUUAUUUUGUGGAGAGCUAUUUUUAAU
rfam:Clostridium beijerinckii NCIMB 8052, complete genome.